rnacentral:lncRNA from 1 species
UUCAGUCUUGUCCUGUAUGUGUUUGUCAAGCAAUCGGACUGGACAAAUGAAAGAAAUGACCAACAUACCUUUACUCUCUCUCCUUCACUUUUCUCUCUCCUCCCCGAUUCUUUCCCAAAUCCACCUUCGCAGAGCCUCCAUCACAGCCCGGCACAUGAAAUUCUCCAAAGCCAUCAACUCAAUCCCAUUAAACUGCCUCUCUAAUGGCAAAUCCAUAGAUUUGUUUCACACCCAUUAAACCAGCAACCGAGCUACAAGCAGGGACAACGCUAAGAAUGGUCACCCUUUCAAAUUACAUACCAUUAACAAAUUCCCAUAUACAACUAUCAGUAUUGUUCUCUCCAGAAGCAAUUAAAUAUGGCCUAAGUGAUACUUUAUAUACCUAAGCAUGGUUUUAAAAAUCGGACUAGAUCGGCUGGUUCAACCGGUCGAACUGUCGACUGGUCGGAGAAACGGUCCGGUCUCCUGUCAAAAUCUAUUUGGUCAAAAAUUACAUGUGACCUCACUUGAUGAUGAUUUACAGUUGGAUUAUCAAAUUACAAUGGAAUUGAACGAUUUACACUGGGAAUGGAAAAAAAGAUGAUUUUAUUCCUCAAAUGAUGGCACAUAUCAGGAAGAAGGGAAAAUCUAUCCAAGAUUAUAAUAUUCAUUAUCAAUUGGAUUAAUGAGACGAGAAAAUAAAAAUAUAAGUUAAAAUUACAAAAUUUAAAAAUAUAAGGACCCAGAUCACAAAUGAGUAAAACUACAAGGAUCAUUUUUGCAAUUUAAUCACAUUUUUAAAUUCAAUUUGACGAAAUAGUUUUUCAAAAUUUAUUUGGUUGAUUAUUGAGAUCAUGCACUCUAUAAAUUUCUCCGGAAAAGCUCAUUUAUUAUCAAAAACUAAAAUACUAUUUCAAAUUCUCAAAACAUUAUUUCUACUAAAAGAUUAUUACAAUCAUCUCCCACUAUGUUUUAUUUGAAACGUGUUCUCUGUCAUCUCUGCAAUCAUCUCCCACUAUGUUUUAUUUCUGUCUUCGCAAUAAUUACUUAAUAAAGCCCAAAACGACAAAGUCGCAAUAAUACUUUACAAUGAACAAAAAGACAAGUACGCAUAAGUUUGAUUGUGUACCGUGUACGAAGAUCGGAUCAGUGAAUUGAGAGAGGCCAUGUGACCCAACUGUUUUCUUUGAUGCCCAGUUCCUAUCUAAUGGGCUAUGGGUCGUAGCAUCCACAUGAAGUCUGAUCCAAUAUCUUUUUGUUUUUGCUAAGUUUGAUUGGACUGAAAAUGUCGAAAACAUGCUAGAAAUAGAGGGAAUAAAUUCAUUUGUUUAGUAUGAAAUGGUAGAAGUUGCAAGGAAGUCAAGUGAUACCGAAUUAUUUGAAUGUAAUUGUUAAUGUUUACGUAUAAACAUAUAGUCGAGGUUCAUUAUAUUUAUAUUAUUGUUUAUUAUUAGAUAGUAAUAUCAUAGGUCAUUUAUAAUACGAACACGUAAAAUUUAUCAUGGGCUCAUUUUCAUGAACCGAUUUGUUUAGCUUUCAAGCUCAUAUACGUAGAUAGAUUGACUGGGGGAAAAAAGAUCAGUUGGAUUUUGUAAUCAUAGCCACAUGUUUUCAUGAAAAUCUAUUAAAAAAUUCGAUAACAAGUAUAAGUUUGAAGUUGGACUCUCUUAUUUUGUAAAACAAGUUUAAUGAAAUCAAGUGACUGCUUAAUAAUUAAUUAUUAAGUUAAUUUAAUUUUUUUUAAUAAAUGAUCUACGUUCAUAGAUUUAAAGAAUUAUUAAACGGAAGUCAGCUUGUGAUGAGUCCAACGAAAUGAAAUAGGAUGUUGUAGUUCAAAGACAAGUCAUUUUCUUUUCGUUUAUAUUUGUUUUUUAAUUUUAGGCUGUAAUUACAAAGGAAAAAGGAAAGGAAAAAAGGUAAUGAAUCUAACAGAUUAAAUUUAAUUUGUUAGAUACCUUCUAGUGUGUUGAAUAAUUAAUUAUCUAUUAGCUCAAACUCAUCUCUGUUUUAAAUUCCAAAGAUGUAUAACUACUUAAACUAAGCUCAAGCUUAAUAUCAAACAUAGAAUUAAUAACACAUAUUAUAAAAGCAAAAAAACUAAGUGAGUGAACUUAAAAAUUAGCCAUGCAUAAUAUAUAAUUUAUCCCACAUGUGAAAAUAUUAGACUUAUCUCACAUCGCUUAUCUCAUCCAACAAACUUAAUUUUAAAUUAGACUCCUCAACCCUUUUCUCUAACAUGAUAUCCAAAAUAUAUACUUUGAGUGAUUCUCUCAGUAGUGAUCAUGUCUCUACUUAAGUCUCUAUCUCUCUUCUCAUCAACUCCAAGUUCAUCCUCUUAAUCUACUGCCUACCUUACCUUGUGCUAUGUGGCCAUUGCUUCUUAGCACAAGUAAUAAUUAAAAAAGUAUCUUAUUUUCAUAGACCAGAUAUGUGUGUUGAUGAUAUUAUCUAAGGUGUUUCAAAAAUUCGAAAUAUGGUUAAAUAAAACCCUAGAAUGUGGUUUGGUUCUAUAGUUUAGAUGGUUCAAUUCUCAUUUUAGAAAUAGAAAAUUGAGGAUGUUUGGCUUUGGUAUUUACUCUCUGCUUUAUAUAUUGAAUCUCCAUUAUUCUAUUUUGAGAUGUUUAAGAAUCCAUUUAUCUUUUUUUUCAUAUAUUAUUUAAGUAACAUUCAACCAAAUAAAAAAUUAAAUGUAAUAAUUACUAUGUUAAAAUUAAAAAUUCAGUAAAAAGUAAAUGUUAUGAUUGUGUUUCCUUAAAAAUUAAAUUGAAUUCUCCGAAAAAGACCUUCAAUAUAGGACUAAGUGAAUAUAUAUUAAAACUUGAAUGCUUCGUUACGUUUAUGCUAUGGAAUGUUUAUAUUAUCACCCUCUCGAUAACCAUAGUAAUAUUCUUAUCUCACAUUAUUCUAACGAUGAACACAAAAUAAUAGAGACAAGUUUAGAGACGAUGUAUAGAAUUAAAAGGGUGAGAAAAUUUGCAAUAUUUAGUUAAUUUUUUUAAAUUCAAUUUUACAAAGUUAUUUUUCAAAAUUUAUUUGAUUGACUAUUGAAAACACGCUCUCUAUAAUUUUUUUCAAGAAAAAACUCAAUUUUUAGCAUAAAUUAAAAUAUACCAUAUUUAAACUGUCAAAAACCAUUCCCACUGGAGGAUAAAUAAUAUAUGUUAUCUAACACGUUUUCUCUGUAAUGUUGUCAACAAUAAUAUACGAAAAGACAAAGUAUAUUUAAGAGCCCCCACUAUGCUUGUGUUUCUCUCUCGUCGCAAUAAUUACUUAUUAAAGUACGAGAAAAGACAAAGUACACGUGAGAUAGGAAAACGACUACUCUAACAAUUUAGGUCUCAUUUGGCUGGAGGAUUUGGAGGGGUAUAAUUUUUUUCCCGGAUAACUUUUUUCUCGGAAUGUUUGGCUAGCGGAUAUGCCCCCGGAUAAGUUAUGCCCCCGAAGGUAGAUAAUUUUUGGGUUGCCUAGACCCCUAACUAAAAAUUAUCCGGGGGAUAAGGGAUACCGCCCCCCUCUCUCCCCCGCCCCCCCCUGUCUCCUUUCUCGUCUCCUCUAUCUACAUCUCUCAGCCCUGCCCACUCUUUUUCCUCUAUCCCUCUUUUCUCUUUUCUUUUCUCUCAUUCCUUUUCUUCCUUCCUCCUAACCUACCUUAUCCACUCAUUCUAAAAAAGUAUCCAAAACAAAAGUUAAAAGUUAUCCCAUCCAAAGUUAUCACCUCUAAAAAGUUUCCUCCCCUAAAAAUUAUGCUGCCUCCCUUAUCCUCAGCCAAACGGGCCCUUGGGGUAAGGUAAAUGUUACGUAGUACGUACCCCCACCAAUUGAAAUAACACCGACACCCAUAGUUAUGAAAACGGACGAACCGGCAGGUUCAACCGGUUCAAUCGAAACUGGGCACUAAAUCGGUUCGGACACAACAUUUUAUCGCAUCGGAAAAAUGCAAGCCAACCGGAUUGAACCGGUUUGAAUCGGCCGAUUUUUUUUUUUUAACAGAAAAAAUAAAGUUUUAAUUUUUACAGUUUGACCCAAAAAUUUUAAUUAAAGUUUUACUUUUUACAAUGACCCCAAAAUUUGAAUUAAAUUAUUUUUUUAAUCGUUUUCUAAAUUAAUUUUUACUAUGAAUGGGUAAUAAAAAAAUUUUUUUUUUUUUUAUAAUAAAAAUAUAAUUUUAUUAUAUUAAUUAUAAAUCCGGUUGAACCGUGGUUGUUUGAACCCAAGGGAACCGUGUGAACCAGUAUUUUGACCGGUUCAAUGUCCGGUUCGGUUCUGAUAACUAUGCCGCGACACCCCUUAAUAUCUGAAAAGGGUAAUGCUAUGAGUACAUUCAAUUUACACCCUAAAUGCAUAUUUGAUGAGGUGGAGUAUUUAAAUUGGUUGGGUGUGGGGUCCACACAGUCCUUUCACCCCACACAUAGCCAAUCUAAAUACUUCAUCUCAUCAGGGGUGCAAGUUGGAUGUACCAUAGCAUUUCUCAUAUCUGAAAACGGUAAAUUUUGACUGACCUCGCAUGAUAUUUUUGAAUCAAAAUCCAACACGUGUACAUUAGUCCAAUUCCUAUUUAAUGGGCUAUUGGGGCCAUAGCCCCUGCAUGUUUCCUCUCGCUGCAUCCACAUGGAGACUGAUCUAAUGUCCCUUUCUUAUCUGUCCUUUCUUUCUUUUUUCAUUAAUUCAAAAGAGGUGAUCAGAUGUGGCGCACCCAUUGUAAUACCAUGGGAGCGUCCCUGAGGGCUCACUACAAUCACAUAAUUUUUUUCAAAUUAUGUCUUAUUUAUUUUUGAAAUCACUCAGCCACAAAAUAUGUGGCUGUGGUGAGGCCACGGAGGGCGCUCCCAUGAUAUUAUCACGGACACGCACCUAUCUGAUCACCACUCUUAAUUUAAUGCGAUGCUCGGAAAAGGUACAAUGGAGUCUUACACGAAUCUCGUAAGUGUUUGCAAUAGUUUAUCUCCUUUAAUUCAUAAACCAUAUAUAAUACUUUAUAUACCGAAGGCAUUAUGAAAUCUAAAAUAUUCCUAAAAUUAUAAUUUAGGUUCGAGUCAAAAAAUUCACAACUACGACCUACAAGCUGAUGAGAUACCAACAUACAUACACCACAAUCAUAUGGUCCUCACUGAUCUCUCUUCUCGACGCCUACACAUGCAUUAUAUGCGCAUAAAAUAUUUGAAGUGUUAAACUAAUCCCAUAUCAAAUAGUUUUGGGAAUACUCCACCUCAUGCUAAUGAUCUUUACUUUACAAUAACAAUUUGUACUACUACAAACAAUUCGCCUUGCUAGAUGCAUUAAAUUGAACUUUCAAGUUCCAAAUUUCUAUUUUGGGAAUUAAAAAGCUUUUUUAAUUGUGCUAUCUGAAAUGACCUUUGGUUUUAACACAUGUAAUAAUUAAAAAAUAUCUUAGCUUUAUCGCCAAAUAUGUGUGUUGAUGAUAUUAUCUAGGGGUGUCUGAAAAUUUAAAAAAAAAACGAUAAAUCAGAUCAAACCAAAUUGGAUCGAACCGUAUGGCUGGUGUGGUCCGGUUCUACGAUUUAGAUUGUUUCAAUACUAAUUUUAAAAAAUAUUAAAUUGGUCUAUAUAGUUCAGUCUUAGUUCUUUAUUUCAGAAUUGUGGUUCAAAAUAAACUGGGCCUGUUUUGUUAAGAACAGAGUUCUGUAACUGGAAUUGAUAUUGCUGAUAGCUGGAAGAAGAAAGAAGAAAAUAGAUUUCCCUAUUCGAGCUAGGGAUAAAGCUCUUAAAAGAACCAAGUAAAGACGGAAUUUUUCAUUCCCUUCUGAAUCAAUGUUACAUUCUUUAUAUUGCUGGACGUUUGACAAGAAUUCAAGGAAUGAUAUCUAACAGUUUUAAACACUAACUGAAUUAACCCAUUCUUGAUAUUGCCCAUGCUUCAGUUAUCUGUUAGCAUAGUUAUUUUGCCAUGCUUUACAUCAUGUUCCUGUCUUUUAAGUCUUAAUCUUUCAUUCAUUCUGGCCUUUUGAUACUCCUUCUUGUUCUAUCAUCCGCUACAAAGCUGUUCUCUCCUACUACCACUGCAUUCGUAACAUGUUUACGUACAUACAUAGCGUGUAUGUGUAAGUUAAACCCAUCCUAACCUUCCUAAUUUAUUUUAUAUUGAGGUAUCAUUACUUAUUGUUUGAUGUUGUAUGAAUUUUUUGGGUUUUCGAUUUUUGCGGUUGUUAUGCUUAGUUUUUUCUAAAGUGGAAUGUUGUCAUGUUAUUUUAAAAUGUAGAUAGUUUAGAAUUUAAAUGUCAGGUAUAAAAUUUAGGAUGUUUGCCUGUGGCAUUUAUUCCAUUCGUCUCAUAGAACUUUUGUUAUUUUAGUUUGGAAUGUCCGAAAAUGUAUAUUCAAUUCGACAGUUAAUAACGAAAAUAUACAACUUUUCUCUUUUAGCCUUUUUUUUAUAAAUUAUUUAAGUAAUAUCAACCAAAACAAAAAAUUAAAUGUAAUAAUUACAGGGAUAAAAUUGGAGAGUCAAUAAAAAUUAAAUGUAAUAAUUAUAUUCCCUUAAAAAGGUUAACUCCCCGAAAUCACACUUCCGUUUGAGGUGGACGGAGUAGAUGUUAAAACUUGAAUGUUAUGUUUUGUUUAUACUGUGUUUAUGUUAUCGGUCUUAACAAUGAGGAUGAUAUUUUUGUCACACAUUAAUCUAAUAAUUAAUUCAAAAAAAAUAGAGAAAAGUUUGGGGACCUCGCAUAGAAUUAAAAGUGCGAGAAAAAAAUUGCAAUGUUUAGAGUAAAUUUCAAAAUAGUCCCUAUAAUUUUUUUUAACAUUGAUUUUGGUUCUUAUAUUUUUAAAUCCCAUGAUUUUAACCUUGUAUUUUAAUUUACAUGCCUAAUCAAUUUAAUUGAUAACCAAAGUUAAGUUGUUGGACAUAUUUUCAAUACAUUUUGAACAUAUGACUUCAUUUGAUGGCAAUUUAUAGUUGGAUUUAUCAAAUUAUAAUAGAAUUUAAGCAAUUUACAGUGAGAAUAGGAAAAAAGUUGAUUUUAUCACUCAAAUGAUGGUACAUGUCGGCCAAUAGUGAAAAUUCAUCCAAAAACAUAACAUUCAUGACCAAUUGGCUUAAUUAGGUGAGAAAAUCAAAAUAUAAAAUUAAAACCGCGGAAUUUUAAAAUACAUGGAUCAAAAUCUUGAAUGAAUAAAACUACAAUGACCGUUUUUGAAAUUUAAUCAUAUUUUAAGAUUCAAUUUGACGAAAUGUUUUUUUCAAAAUUUAUUUGGUUGAUGAUUGAGAACAUGCUCUCUAUGAAUUUCUCGAGAAAAACUCAUUUAUUAGCAAAAAUUAAAAUAGUAUUUAGUGACGGCAUAUAGAAUUAAGAGGGUGAGAGAAAAAAUGGCAAUGUUUAAUAAAUAUUUAUAAAAUUAUUUUAAUAUUUUUAAAAUUACUUUUGCAAAAUAAUUUUUAAAAAUUUAUUUGGUCGACGGUUUAAAACGUACUCUCUUUGAAUUUGUCGGGGGAAAAAAAUCUCAUUUUUGGAUAAAAUUAGAAGGGUAUAUUUAAGUUCUCAAAAACUAUUUCUGCUAAAAGAUAAA